GGCUUAGGAUGAACGCUAGCGACAGGCUAACACAUGCAAGUCGAGGGGUAACAGGGUAGCAAUACCGCUGACGACCGGCGCACGGGUGAGUAACGCGUAUGCAACCUGCCUAUAACUGGGGAAUAGCUCCCUGAAAGGGGAAUUAACACCGCAUAACACUAUUGAUUCGCAUGGAUUAGUAGUUAAAUGUAGCGAUACAGGUUAUAGAUGGGCAUGCGUGACAUUAGCUAGUUGGUGAGGUAACGGCUCACCAAGGCUACGAUGUCUAGGGGUUCUGAGAGGAAGGUCCCCCCACACUGGUACUGAGACACGGACCAGACUCCUACGGGAGGCAGCAGUGAGGAAUAUUGGUCAAUGGGCGCAAGCCUGAACCAGCCAUGUCGCGUGCAGGAAGAACCUGCCCUAUGGGUUGUAAACUGCUUUUAUAGUAGAAGAAACACAUCUACGUGUAGAUGUCUGCCAGUAUACUAUGAAUAAGCAUCGGCUAACUCCGUGCCAGCCGCCGC
rnacentral:rRNA from 1 species